rnacentral:lncRNA from 1 species
UUUUUUUGGUGAAACUCUCAUUUUUUUUUUGGAUCAAUAUUAAAAUUAAUACGAAUUAAUGAAAAUAACACAAAUAAAAUGAAAAUUGGAAAAUCAGAAAAAACGUGGACCACUUGAUCUCCCUCAUUAAUUGAGGUGGAAGAUCAAGUGGAUCUAAACGCACGUUCCAUGAUGAAGUUGAGUCAGCGCGCCACAUGAGUGGUAAUCAAAACCAAUGCUCGUGAUUAAAACAAUUUGAAUAGAUCAUGUGGCUCUGGACCAUGCCAACUCACCACCGGAGCAAAAC